UUAGGAAUAUUGGACAAUGGGCGCAAGCCUGAUCCAGCCAUGCCGCGUGAGUGAUGAAGGCCUUCGGGUUGUAAAGCUCUUUAGUCCACGAUUAUAAUGACUGUAGUGGAAGAAUAAGCCCCGGCUAACUUCGUGCCAGCAGCCGCGGUAAUACGAAGGGGGCGAGCGUUAUUCGGAAUCACUGGGCGUAAAGCGUGCGUAGGCUGUCUUAAAAGUUAGGAGUGAAAGCCCCAGGCUCAACCUGGGAAUUGCUUUUAAUACUGUAAGACUCGAAUUCGGGAGAGGAUAGCGGAAUUCUCAGUGUAGCAGUGAAAUGCGUAGAUAUUGAGAGGAACACCAGUGGCGUAAGCGGCUAUCUGGCCCGACAUUGACGCUGAGGCACGAAAGCGUGGGGAUCAAA
rnacentral:rRNA from 1 species